GACAGUGGGCGGGACUAAGGGGACCACCUGCAGACACGCCCUGGCUUCUGCCGAAGGUCUUCCUUCUCUUCCCCCUCGGGGCCUAAGAGGCCACGCGCGGGGUCUGGGAGCUCUAGGGUCCGGAGCUCUAGGGUCCUUUUAUGUAGCAAAGUCAGGCCUGGGAACAGAACUUCAUGUGCUUGUAAAAAGUCUCAGGUGCGUCCUCGUUGUUUUAGAGACUUGGAGAGGAAUGGGGGAAAAAAAAAACCGAGGACAGUAGAGCCAAGAAAAUUCGGGGGGCUUCUAGGAUGCCUACCACGCCAAACAGAUCAAAACCAGGACUGGAGGACUGAAGAUGAAGCCGGCAAAACGCCAUCAGCCACGGCUGUUGUAAGGUAUGCUUCACCUCUCCUGCUAAGUCUUCAUCCCUGUCUAUGAGGACAAAGAAGUUACGGGUUAAAUUGGCGAUGGGCCAGGCUGUCCUUGAGGAUGCUCUUAAGUUCCAGGGAAUCUGAUGCCUUCUUCUAACCACCACGAAGACAAGUUGGUGAUAGAAAAUGGGAGAACUGAAGACAACCACUUUAUAAAACCCCUUGUCUGCUUGAAUUUGUGGUGAUG
ensembl:processed_transcript